rnacentral:lncRNA from 1 species
CAUCUUCGAUGCUGACGUUAAGCCUGUUGGUGAUAAUGCCAUCUCUGUUGACGGCAAGGUCAUCAAGGUCGUUUCUAGCCGCAACCCUCUCGACCUUCCCUGGAAGUAAGAGUCUCUUUCGCUUUUGUUGUCUUCUCCGAUGAAGACUUGAAUUACACAUGAUGUUCACAUAUUAGAUAGUUGAUCGUAUGAAAUAUGUGUGCUAAUGAUGGGCUGGCCAAUUCGUUUGAUGUUACAGGGACUUGGAGGUCGACCUGGUGAUAGAAGGUACGGGGGUUUUCGUCGACAGGGAAGGUGCAGGGAAGCACAUUACGGCAGGGGCCAAGAAGGUGCUCAUCACAGCCCCUGGAAAGGGUGAUAUACCAACCUACGUUGUUGGAGUCAAUG